GAUGAACGCUGACAGAAUGCUUAACACAUGCAAGUCGAUUCGAUUUACCUUCGGGUAUUGAGGAUGGCGGACGGGUGAGUAACGCGUAAGGAACUUGCCUCUUGGUCUGGGACAACUGUUGGAAACGACAGCUAAUACCGGAUAUUAUGAGAUUCUCGCAUGGGAAACUUAUGAAAGCUAUAUGCGCCAAGAGAGAGCCUUGCGUUCCAUUAGCUAGUUGGUGGGGUAACGGCCCACCAAGGCGACGAUGGAUAGCCGGCCUGAGAGGGUGAACGGCCACAAGGGGACUGAGACACGGCCCUUACUCCUACGGGAGGCAGCAGUGGGGAAUAUUGGACAAUGGGCCACAAGCCUGAUCCAGCAAUUCUGUGUGCACGAUGAAGGUCUUCGGAUUGUAAAGUGCUUUCAGUUGGGAAGAAGAAAGUGACGGUACCAACAGAAGAAGCGACGGCUAAAUACGUGCCAGCAGCCGCGGUAAUACGUAUGUCGCAAGCGUUAUCCGGAUUUAUUGNGCGUAAAGCGCGUCUAGGCGGAAAAAUAAGUCUGAUGUUAAAAUGCGGGGCUCAACUCCGUAUUGCGUUGGAAACUGUUUUUCUAGAGUACUGGAGAGGUGGGCGGAACUACAAGUGUAGAGGUGAAAUUCGUAGAUAUUUGUAGNAAUGCCGAUGGAGAA
rnacentral:rRNA from 1 species